rnacentral:lncRNA from 1 species
UAACAACUAUAGAUCACCGUACGGCCUUCAACAAUGAGCAAAGCCCAUACCGCAUAGUCAGCUAUAAAAGGCCUCGAUAAGACAAUGUAAAACAAUUCAAACGAGAAAACUAACAGCCUUAUUUAUAUAAAAAAAAUGAACGAAAAAAAAAUAUGAAAUACAUAAACAAACGACAACCACUGAAUUACAGGCUCCUAACUUGGGACAGGCACAUACAUAAACAAGAAGUAAUUGUAACAGGAUGCUGUUACGAAGUCUCCCAAACAAAGCACCGAUAACUCCCCAUUCAUAUGGUCCCAUGUUCAUUUGAUUUGAUUUUUUGUCCCAUACAAGAAUAUAUAUGGCUUACGAGUAGGGAUCUCCACCAUUUACAAGUUUUCAAACAGGAGGGGGUGGUGGUGACCCCAGGGACUUUACCUACAUUUCAUUUGAUUUGUUUUAUUGUCCCCUACAAGAAAAUAUAUGGUUUAGGGGUGGGGAUCUGGACUGUUUACAAGAUAAUAGAACAUUCUCAAAUUGAACGGGGUGGGGGUGACCCCCAGGAACUUCCAUCUAAUUACAUGUGAUUUGUUUCAUUGUCCCAUACAAGAAUAUAUAUGGUUUAGGGGUGGGGAUCUGGACCGUUUACAAGUUUUCAAACAAGAGGGGUUGGGGUGACCCCCUAGGGACUUCCCUUUUAUUUCAUUUGAUUUGUUUUAUUGUCCCAUACAAGAAUAUAUAUGGUUUAGGGGUGGGAUCUGGACCGUUUACAAGUUUUCAAACAAGAGGGGGUGGGUGACCCCUAGGGACUUCCCAUUUAUUUCAUUUGAUUUGUUUUAUUGUCCCCUACAAGAAUAUAUAUGGUUUAGGGGUGGGGAUCUGGACUGUUAACAAGAUAAUAGAACAUUCUCAAAUUGAACGGGGU